rnacentral:rRNA from 2 species
CGUGUAGGCGGUUUGUUAAGUCUGUUGUGAAAGCCCUGGGCUCAACCCGGGAAGUGCACUGGAUACUGGCAAACUUGAAUACGGGAGAGGAGAGUGGAAUUCCUGGUGUAGGAGUGAAAUCCGUAGAUAUCAGGAGGAACACCGGUGGCGAAGGCGGCUCUCUGGACCGAUAUUGACGCUGAGACGCGAAAGCGUGGGUAGCAAACA